CCUACGGGUGGCAGCAGUGAGGAAUAUUGGUCAAUGGGCGCGAGCCUGAACCAGCCAAGUCGCGUGAGGGAUGACGGCCCUACGGGUUGUAAACCGCUUUUGCCGGGGAGCAACGGGCGUCACGUGUGGCGCCACUGAGAGUACCCGGCGAAAAAGCAUCGGCUAACUCCGUGCCAGCAGCCGCGUUAAUACGGAGGAUGCGAGCGUAUUCCGGAUUUUUUGGGUUUAAGGGGUGCGUAGGCGGAUCGGUAAGUCAGUGGGAAAAGUCGUGGGUCCAAACCCUGCCCGCCAUUGAAACUGGCGCUCUUGAGUGGAAGAGAAGUAUGCGGAAUGCGUGGUGUAGCGGUGAAAUGCAUAGAUAUCACGAAGAACCCCGAUUGCGAAGGCAGCAUGCCGGCUUCCGACUGACGCUGAAGCACGAAAGCGUGGGGAUCGAACAGGAUUAGAUACCCUAGUAGUC
rnacentral:rRNA from 1 species